AUGAAUAUCCUUCCGCUUCUUCAAGUGCUUCUUAUUUAUUCAGCAUUUUAAAUUACAGAAAUCCAUUCUACUCAAAACAAAAACUUUAAAUAAAUAAGCUCAUGUCCAUCGAAAAAAAAAUCUGAAUUAAAAAAUCGAUCACACUUCAGCAAAACUGAAGGCGGCACCAAAUCCCGCCUCUCUAAGGUAUCUCUCCGUGUCUAUUGGCUGCGACGUUGUGAUAACUGUCCUCCCAUUGGCUGACCGUUCUCCCGCCUGAAACUUCUGGAGCAAACUGAGCACGGAGGGUCGCUGCUGAGUGCUGAAUUGGCAGCACAAGCGGAUGAUGGAGUACCUGCAAAUGGACACUGAGUUGGAGCAGUUGGCUGGCCGCUUGAGGUGUUUCCCCCUCUGGAGAUGCUGCAGCAGCUCGGUUACCGUGACGUCAUGAAAUGCUUGUCUGGCCAGGACUUCAGGGGCCUGCCAUUUCCUCAUGUCCAGCUCCUCCACCCCCCGUGGAAGUGGCGUCCGUGUUUUCCUGUGGUAAGCAGGGCUGAGCCCCCACAGCUUUGCUGACAGAUCUGCUCCAAUCAAAACGCUGCGAGCUCCCAGGUUGCCAUGAAUGCAGCCUUGACUGUGCAGGUACUCCUACAGGUAUAUGAAGUCACAGGUAAAUAAUGUGAUUAUCUGUCAGAUGAAAAGACAUUUUCAUGUUUUAAUCUCAGAGUGCCAUCAAAAAAAGAGCCCUGGAAAUUCACUAACAACCAGUAGUGUGUGCAGUCUUUACAGUUGACCAGAAGGUGUCACCUCUGUGCUUCUUCAGGAAAGCUUUGCUCUUCAACUGCAACUUUUGGUAGUUGGCAGUGAGACAUGCACAGAUGUAGAUUAUAAGAUGUAUUCCCUGCAUUCUGUCCUACAGCCAUAAUGUUUGUGAUUAUUUAAAUUUUCUAUGUGUUCUUUUUAUUUCGUUUAAUUAAUGAGUUAAGUAGUGAAACAAACCAGUGCAGAUGCGACUUGUCCAGCCAUAAUGAAGAGUCUUUUCUCUGUGAAGUUACUGAAGUUAUUCUGCAAGAAGAGAGGGCAAACGUCAUUGGUUUUAGUUCAGGUCAGGUCAGGUCAUGAGUCACUGUACCUGUCGACAACUCCAGAGGAAACCCAGCAGAUCUCUGUGUUGUAGCUCCUCCAACACCAACAUUAUGGGGUGGUGCACAGAGACAACACCCAGCACUGCUGGGAUGAAGGGGUGUGGCCCAAGGCCAGACAGGAACGAAGCAAACCCCAGGAAAUAGUGCUUCUCUUGGUCAUUUGCAGAGUCUGUGGAUCAAUGUCAUUCAUCAAUGAUUCUCUGAGUUUUGUUCACGCUUGCUGUCCUCAGUAACACUUGCGAGUCAUGUGUCUUGGAAAACACAUUUUUCUGGCUCUUCUUUAAUCACUUGAAAAGUCAGUGUGCUAUGUGUACAAAGGCCUCAAUUCAAGAUACUGAAAUUGUUUGACUUUGAUGGUUGAAUGCAAGGAAAUAAAACAAUUUUCACCAGUACCUAAUGUUCACUAAUAAACUGCUGUGUAGGAACAUCACCCCAAAUUGCAGUGUGGAA